GAUGAACGCUGGCGGCGUGCUUAACACAUGCAAGUCGAACGGAAAGGCCAGUGCUUGCACUGGUGCUCGAGUGGCGAACGGGUGAGUAACACGUGGGUGAUCUGCCCUGCACUUUGGGAUAAGCCUGGGAAACUGGGUCUAAUACCAGAUAGGACCAUGCUUUGGAUGGUGUGGUGGAAAGUUUUUUCGGUGUGGGAUGAGCUUGCGGCCUAUCGGCUUGUUGGUGGGGUAAUGGCCUACCAAGGCGUCGACGGGUAGCCGGCCUGAGAGGGUGUACGGCCACAUUGGGACUGAGAUACGGCCCAGACUCCUACGGGAGGCAGCAGUGGGGAAUAUUGCACAAUGGGCGCAAGCCUGAUGCAGCGACGCCGCGUGGGGGAUGACGGCCUUCGGGUUGUAAACUCCUUUCGCAACUGACGAAGCUUUUUGUGACGGUAGGUUGAGAAGAAGCACCGGCUAACUACGUG
rnacentral:rRNA from 1 species